GCUGUAGCUUAGAGGUAAGGCGUCUGCCUUGCAUGCAGAAGGUCCCUGGUUCAAAGCCUGGCAUCUCCA